GUUAAAAUACCAAAUGUUUGACAUUCAGCAGCCCAUGAUGAAUACAUGUAAAUCAAUUUGCUCUAAUGUGUCAUUAAACUAAACACACCCUUUUUGUUCCUGCCAGUGCACCAUGAAUGGAAUAUCAUCAGUGGUGGUAUGUGCAAAACCAGUUCUGUGUGAACUUUAUCAACAAAGUACAUUUGAACACAAUGAACAUCACAAAACCAUCCAUAUGCAUACAGAAAUAUGUUUGAAGAAUGUAUUUUAACAAAUGAACUUUUUAAAAGUAAUAAAAUUGUGGAAGGCAAAUGUACCUCAACUCAUCUACUUUCUUUUUAAAGAAAACAAUUGGUAAUUGCAGAUUGUCUUCCAUUACGAGGAAACAGAAAUGUUAACUUGUUUUUAAGUGCAUACAGAUAUUUGUAACAAUUUCAUUACCAAUGUAAGGUUCAAAUUGUACUAUAAAUUACUUUUGUUGUGAAACUGUACUGUAAAUUGCUUUUGUUCUCAAAUUUAUAUAUAGGUACAACAUUCACAAGCAAGAUGUAUUAUAAUUUUAAACUAGAACAGACCUCUUCUUUUUCAAUUUGUUUGAUGCUACCACUUGCAAUUAAUGGGAACAAUACAUUAUUUUGCAGUUGAUCUGUGACCCAUGGUUUCGCAUAAUGGACUGUGUAGCCAAAUGGCCAGGUUCUGUCCAUGAUAACAGAAUCUUCAGACAGUCUGCUGUGUGUGCUCAUUUUGAGAGAGGUGAUAUUGAUGGGAUCCUCCUUGGCGAUUCAGGAUAUGCCUUGAGAAACUUUUUAAUGACACCAUAUUUAACACCUAACACUGAUGCUAAAAAAAAAUACAAUACAUCUUUGUGCAAAACUCGUGUAUUAAUUGAGCAAACAUUUGGCAUUCUAAAACGACGUUUUGCUUGUCUUCAUAAUGAAAUUAGAUCUAAGCCUGAGUUUGUUUGUAAAUUUGUAAUUGCAUGUUGUGUUUUACACAAUGUCGGUAUUGACAGAGGUGAUGUUUGUUCAUUUGAAUUUCCCGAUUUAAAUGAUUCACAAAAUGAUAUCAUUCACACAGAUGGUGUUGGUGCUCAUAUGCGUGAGCACAUCACCAAUACCUAUUUCUCUUGAAGGCAUUGUUCCACAGACACUAAUGCAUCACAAAGCAAAACAAGUAAUUGAAAAUGUAUACUCUUAAUUUGUAUUCAUUAAUCUUCAAUGCUAUAAAUUAUGAAGAAUGUUAAUUUUAAUCAAGGAAUAUGUUGGUCUACAAAUUAAUCAAUUUUCAGCGUAUCAAAUGAAUGAAACUUUUCCUUGUAAUCCAAUAUUAUGAAAAAGAAAAGCACAAAGGAAGUCAUUUAUUAUAUCGAAUGUCAGUGGAAACAUGCCUUUACUAAAAGUACAUUCAAAAUUGUUGAGGCAACAUUGGUUACUGACAUAAUUAAAGACAUUUUUGUUCAAUAUUAUUUGUUAAAAUGUUUGGAGUUAAAAACCUGUCACAUAAUACAUGUAUUAGGAUGAUAAAUACAUUGAUAUUGUAACAAAUGAUAAAAGUCAUUUCUAUAAUUAAACAGGCUACAUGAAGUUACAAUGGCCACAUAUGUAAUGCAUACCAGUGGUAUGUCCCUGAUAUUCCCAUGCUAUCAUUAAACAGGAUACAUGAAGUUACAAUGGUCACAUAUCUAAUGUAUACCAGUGGUAAGUCCCUGAUAUUCCCAUGCUAUAGUAAAACAAUAAAUAUAGAAUAAAUAGUUAAUGACAUGUAACAUUGGUUUUAUUAUCUGAAAGGAUAAAUUGGAAAUUUGUGGAUUCCAUAGAGAUUUCUUGCAAAUUCAUAAGCUGCUUCCUGCUGUUUAGUUGGACGGACUAACAUUUAUAAAUUAUAAUUUCUAUGACAUAUAGAAUUUU